CUCUGACCAAAGCAAGGACUUCAUCUACCGUGAGGGCGCGGGGCAAAGAGCCUCCAUUCAACCGCUGCCAGUGACGACUGAGUCCCCCUUCCACGCAACGGCCGGCAGGACCAGUGAGACUGAGGGGGAGGAGCGCCGUGGCGAGAGACUGGCGUUUAUAAUCAAACCUGUGGUCCCGCGAUCCUACUUGAGGGAAAACAGGCUAUCUCUUUAGCCCCGCCCCGCGCUUUGCAUUCUGGGAAGCGGAGUUCCAGCCUUUCUCUUUCCGCGGGAGGGAAUGAAAGGGAGGGUGAGAACCGUUAGUUAUUUCUUUCUUUGGUCGUGCCCCUAAUCAGGUCCAGGAUUCGAGUUUGUGUUCUUUCGUUUUAAUUCCUUUUAAAGCGCGUUCGUUUGCCUGAGAUCUAGCUUCUAGAUGGCGUUCCUAUAGCCUCCCGGAGCCCCAGCCAUCCUCCGUAGAAGGGUCCCUGCCGCAGUGCGGGGCCUGAGGGAAGUCGGCUCUGGCGUCCGUGCUCCAACGCUGGGAGCAGCCCUGAAACUCCAGUGACCCUCAGCCGUCUGCCUUUGUUUUGGGAUAAAUGAAUUCAAGCAUUCUUCAGUCAAUUCGAUUUAUCCAAGGGAUCAGGGACACAUUUUCUCUAUUGCUAGCACUGACGUGGGCCAUUAAAAACAAAAACAAAAACGAAAUUAAAAAGAAAACCCUUAGCUCUCUCUUCAAGUAAGUCUUAAGUGGCCAAAAUUGACCUUAUGGGCAAGUCCUGUAACGUGACAGCCAUUUUAGGACGCUUGUGACAUGCUGUUCAGGUUCUAGUCUGAAGUAGGAUUUUUCUCGCAUCUUGGUCACUGGUAGCACUUAAUGACUCCUCUGAGAGUGGUUUUGUCAUUUUUGCUGUUAGAGUUCACGAUAACUAAGAUCCUGGAGAAUUGAAUCCAUUUUCUCAGCUUAGAUAUAAAUCAAACCAUCCCUGUUGACAACACGUCAGCCUGCUGUGGGAAUACAUUGCUGGUUAUUUCUGACUUAUCAAUGUGAAUUUUGAUUAUGGAAGCUGAAUUCUGGUUGAUAGGGAUCCAUUGUAAUGUUCUCUCUACUUUUGCGCAUUUUUAAGUAUUUCAUAAUGCGAAAUAUAAAAAGUGUGUGUCUAUAGUGAGUGCUGUUCAAUAAGAUUCUUAUAAGGAGUGAAGAAUUCAAGCACUUAGUUCUUAAGUAUUACUUGUAAUGGGCAGUGGGCUGGAGGUGUUCCAGGCAGACGGAACUCAAUUACCAAGAGCACAGAAGCAAGAGAUCAUCUAUUCCAUAGAUUAGAAAGUGGUGGAUCAUAAAGCAUGAGGUAGAAUUCUGAGAGACAGAACUAGAGACUUAAACCAGAUUAAGAUUAGCCGUCUGUGACAAGCACUGGUCAUUGGGAUUCUCCCUGCCACUCACUCCUUUCUCCUUGCUAACAAGAUCCUGAUUUGUUCAAGAAGCAGAGAAAGAGAUGGAAAACAGCACAAAAUUAGAUGAAAUAAUAGUUUCAGACUUUGGAGAAUAGGCAGAGAAACACUAUGAUCCCUGAGAAAAAAGAGAUAAACCACGUAAAGUCUAUAGUCAUCCUGUAUUUUUAUUGAGAGACACACAUGCAAGACCACAGUGUAGACGAAAGUCCCAAGGAGAGUAUAUGGCCUUGCCUUGUAUAGAAGACACAUACCAGAGUUCAGGCGUUUUGGAAGGAGGCUGAAGUUGCAGCAAAGGGCUCUGAAGAGGUGGUGGAUGUGCCCAAGACACAGGGAAGAAAAAGAAGUAAACAGGGAAGUACAACACAGACUCUGAAAUGGGGCAUCAUGGAAGACGGAGCUUUGUCGUCUUGGUCUUUGCUGUAUAUUCACUUCCUACAACAGUGCUAAAUACCUUGUGGAUGCUUAAAUAUAUUAAAUGAAUGCAUAAAUGAAAAGAGUAAAUAAAGAGUGUAUAUGAAAGUAUGUAGAUAAAAUUCUUCACUAAGCCUUGGGGAUCCAGCUGCUUAAGGACUAAGACCGUAUCUAGCUCCUUUUAGUAUUUCCACAGCAUGCCAUGGAGAUACAUGUUUCUGAUUAUAUAUGAUACAUGGAAAUUAUAUGUUGUUGAAUGAGUGAUUGAGUAAAUGUGUACUAGGGCAGCUAAUCAUAAAUAUUUCUACUAUUGCUAAAAUGACUGGAUUUAUCCAUUCCUUCUGAGAGUUUAUACUGAUUGCUUAUAUUGUAUCAAAUACCGUAACUGAGGGCAAUGUUUACUCAAACUAAUAGCACCAUUCAAAUUUAUGCAAACAAUAACACUAUAUCUUUAAAAUGUUUUCACUAAAAGCUGCAUAAAGAGUGUAUUCAACAACAAUAGAAUAAUUUUACAAUCUUUUUUCUUGCUUAAUGGCCAUUUGUGCCUUCUGACAUGCUGCUAGCCAUUCAAAGGUCACACUACCUUGAAGUUGAAGAUCAAGACA
rnacentral:lncRNA from 1 species